rnacentral:rRNA from 1 species
GAUGAACGCUGGCGGCGUGCCUAAUACAUGCAAGUCGAGCGAACAGACGAGGAGCUUGCUCCUCUGACGUUAGCGGCGGACGGGUGAGUAACACGUGGAUAACCUACCUAUAAGACUGGGAUAACUUCGGGAAACCGGAGCUAAUACCGGAUAAUAUAUUGAACCGCAUGGUUCAAUAGUGAAAGACGGUUUUGCUGUCACUUAUAGAUGGAUCCGCGCCGCAUUAGCUAGUUGGUAAGGUAACGGCUUACCAAGGCGACGAUGCGUAGCCGACCUGAGAGGGUGAUAGGCCACACUGGAACUGAGACACGGUCAAGACUCCUACGGGAGGCAGCAGUAGGGAAUCUUCCGCAAUGGGCGAAAGCAUGACGGAGCAACGCCGCGUGAGUGAUGAAGGUCUUCGGAUCGUAAAACUCUGUUAUUAGGGAAGAACAAAUGUGUAAGUAACUAUGCACGUCUUGACGGUACCUAAUCAGAAAGCCACGGCUAACUACGUG